AUUGAACGCUGGCGGCAUGCCUUACACAUGCAAGUCGAACGGCAGCACGGACUUCGGUCUGGUGGCGAGUGGCGAACGGGUGAGUAAUGUAUCGGAACGUACCUUUCAGUGGGGGAUAACGUAUCGAAAGUUACGCUAAUACCGCAUAUUCUGUGAGCAGGAAAGCAGGGGAUCGAAAGACCUUGCGCUGAUUGAGCGGCCGAUAUCAGAUUAGCUAGUUGGUGGGGUAAAGGCCUACCAAGGCGACGAUCUGUAGCGGGUCUGAGAGGAUGAUCCGCCACACUGGAACUGAGACACGGUCCAGACUCCUACGGGAGGCAGCAGUGGGGAAUUUUGGACAAUGGGGGCAACCCUGAUCCAGCCAUGCCGCGUGAGUGAAGAAGGCCUUCGGGUUGUAAAGCUCUUUCGGCCGGGAAGAAAUCGCAUAGGCUAAUACCCUGUGUGGAUGACGGUACCGGAAUAAGAAGCACCGGCUAACUACGUG
rnacentral:rRNA from 1 species